UCCAGUCUUGCAAGGAUUUUUUUUAAGGAUCAUUGCUCUUGAUUUCUCAGAAAUUGGGUUAUGAAUUCAUCUACCUGUCCAAUUGCUUCAUAAAGGCACAGAGAAACCACUCAAGUUUUCUCCCAGAUGGAGUUUCUGGGGCAUAACCCAUCCAGUUGAAACUGUUCUCAAUUAGUUAAAAUGCACUCGAGGGGUGAGUCUCUGGGGAUGCUUUGGGCGUUCCCCGUGGUGGUAAAGCACCAUCAGUGUCUGGCUGUCAGCAGCCGGAGUAGCGUGCAGAGCCCAACUGCAGGUGUCAACAUAGUUAUAAGAUUUAGUCAAGUCCCAUUCAGCCCAGGAGGCAAGAGGCAAAGGCCUGGGGCAGGCCGGAGGCUGAGGCUCUCAAUGCCAGGGUUGAGAGUUAAGUCCCUGGCAGAAAGUUUUUCAAGUUUUUGAUUUUAUAGAAGAUCCAGGUUCUGCUCAGGUCCAGCUCAAACUUAACGUCAACUUGGUGACAACAGAGGAGGUGAUGAAUGAGACGGACAAAGAAGGGAAAGAGGGGCCGGCUCCAUGGCCAAGUGGGUAAGUUCAUGCGCUCCGCUGUGGCGGCCCAGUGUUCGGAUCCUGGGUGCAGACAUGGCACUGCUCGUUAGGACAUGUUGAGGUGGCGUCCCACGUCCCACAACUGGAAAGACCUGCAACUAAGAUAUACAACUACGUAUGGGGGGGUUGGAGAGAUAAAGCAGAAAAAAAAAAAAGAUUGGCAACAGUUGUUAGCUCAGGUGCCAAUCUGAAAAAAAAAAAAAAAAGAAGAAGGGAAAGAGGUGAUCAGGCCUCGCCCUCAUGGCCUCUUUCCAAGGGUUAUCAAGAUAAAGGUCACACAAACAACAGUUCCCGGCAGGACAGUUUGCAGAAUAAAUUACAGGUCUCCUGACCCCAGAACCGACUCAGUAGGCACCUAAAAUACUCACCGGGUUCUUGACAGGAGACAAAACAGAGUUCCGGAGAGCUCCCAGGGGUGGAACGCAGACUCAAUGAGACAGAAAAAUCAGAUUGUCAGGCUAAUGACUGACCCAGGGGCUCACGGUGCCCCUGAAACCAGAGGAGAGGAGAUCCUCCUAAAGAGGAUAAAAGAGGGAGAGGAAAGAGGGAGACUUUAAGAAGUUGGU
rnacentral:lncRNA from 1 species